rnacentral:rRNA from 1 species
GCCCGUCACACCAUGAGAGUCGGGAACACCCGAAGUCCGUAGCCUAACAGCAAUGAGGGCGCGGCCGAAGGUGGGUUCGAUAAUUGGGGUGAAGUCGUAACAAGGUAGC